UUCGCAAUGCCCGAAAGGGUGACGAAGCGACGCCGCGUGCGGGAAGAAGGCCUUCGGGUUGUAAACCGCUGUCGGGAGUUAAGAAAUGUAAGGAUGUUAAUAGCAUCUUUGCUUGACUAAGGCUCCAGAGGAAGCCACGGCUAACUCUGUGCCAGCAGCCGCGGUAAUACAGAGGCGGCAAGCGUUGUUCGGAAUUAUUGGGCGUAAAGAGCACGUAGGCGGCUAUGUAAGUCGGUUGUGAAAGCCUUCCGCUCAACGGGAGAACAGCAUCCGAUACUGCAUGGCUUGAGUGCGGGAGGGGAGAGUGGAACUUCUGGUGGAGCGGUGAAAUGCGUAGAUAUCAGAAGGAACGCCGGCGGCGAAAGCGGCUCUCUGGCCCAUAACUGACGCUGAGUGUGCGAAAGCUAGGGGAGCAAACGGGAUUAGAUACCCCGGUAGUCCUAGCCGUAAACGAUGGGCACUAAGUAGAGGGGUUUU
rnacentral:rRNA from 1 species